CCUACGGGAGGCAGCAGUGAGGAAUAUUGGUCAAUGGACGAGAGUCUGAACCAGCCAAGUAGCGUGAAGGAUGACUGCCCUAUGGGUUGUAAACUUCUUUUAUAUGGGAAUAAAAUGUUCCACGUGUGGGAUUUUGUAUGUACCAUAUGAAUAAGGAUCGGCUAACUCCGUGCCAGCAGCCGCGGUAAUACGGAGGAUCCGAGCGUUAUCCGGAUUUAUUGGGUUUAAAGGGAGCGUAGGUGGAUUGUUAAGUCAGUUGUGAAAGUUUGCGGCUCAACCGUAAAAUUGCAGUUGAAACUGGCAGUCUUGAGUACAGUAGAGGUGGGCGGAAUUCGUGGUGUAGCGGUGAAAUGCUUAGAUAUCACGAAGAACUCCGAUUGCGAAGGCAGUUCACUGGACUGCAAAUGACACUGAGGCUCGAAAGUGUGGGUAUCAAACAGGAUUAGAUACCCCUGUAGUC
rnacentral:rRNA from 1 species